CCUACGGGCGGCAGCAGUGAGGAAUCUUGGUCAAUGGGCGAGAGCCUGAACCAGCCACGUCGCGUGAGGGAGUAAUGCCCUCUGGGUUGUAAACCUCUUUUGUCGGGGAGCAAAAGCCGGACGUGUCCGGCUGUGAGAGUACCCGAAGAAAAAGCAUCGGCUAACUCGGUGCAAGUAGCCGCGGUAAGACGGAGGCUGCGGGCGUUAUCCGGAUUUAUUGGGUUUAAAGGGUGCGCAGGCGGAUUUUUAUGUCAGCGGGAAAUUCGUGGGGCUAAAGCCCAUCCAGCCGUUGAAACUGGGGAUCUAGAGUGUGCGAGAGGUAUGCGGAAUGCGUGGUGUAGCGGUGAAAUGCAUAGAUAUCAGGCAGAACCCCGAUGGCGAAGGCAGCAUACUGGUGCACAACUGACGCUCAGGCACGAAAGCGUGGGUAUCGAACAGGAUUAGAUACCCGAGUAGUC
rnacentral:rRNA from 1 species